UUCAAAAUUAUCUUUUGCCUUAAUUUGUUAACAGAUUUCUCUUGAAUCCGAGAUGUUAUUCAUCAGCUGAUUAUAGAGGAGGAGUUUUGUCAUUGAUGGGAACCAACGUCAUAUUUAUGAUAUUGUGGCUGCAUCACUUUUGUUUGGCAGAGGUACAAGAGAACCAGUAACACAAAUAAAAGAUGCAGUUCCUAAGAGAUCCAAAGUCAGCAGCACCUAAGACUAUACUGAUCAUGACUUUGAAUUAUCAGCAUCCAAAACAAUGGAAAUCAAAUACAGGUUUUGUCUGUACAUCUGGCAAUCUUGGGGCAAUACUGGAUGGUUUUAACUAAGAACUGAUCCAGCAUGAAGACCAGCCACGUGUCUCACCUGUCAUGACAUUAUUAAAGUACUUUGUGACAGUGGGAUAAUGGAGUAUUAAAGAAUGGACAUGGAUCUGUAUUACUGCAUCAGAGAUCAAUCCAGGUUUACUUAUAAAUCAAAGAAAAACACUUAAACAGUCAAGCAUCAUUU